rnacentral:lncRNA from 1 species
AGAUUCGAACCGGAUCUCUGCUUCCGUUCGAAUUGUUUUCUUUCCUCGCAUUUGGAUCUCUCGAAGCAUGCUUCAUCUUUGUCGGGUUUUGCAAUGGCGUGUUGGGGUUUUUGACCUUGAUCUGUUUGAUUUUUGAACACGAGGUUUUGGAAUUUGAAGGAGAAUCUAAUAAAGAUAAGGUUUGGGGAUGAUUCAUUGUGAGCUAAUGUGUUUUUUGGUUGAUUGAAAGAGGGAUUUUGACUGCUGGAUGGAUCCCUGUGACUUCUUGUUUGGGUUGAAUGUAUUAACGGAAAGACAUGUUCUUUGGCGGUGGAAUCGCUAUAAUUUCUUUGGAUGUGGUGCGUUCGUUAAUUUGAGCUUGGCCACUUGUAUUUUUUUUCCUUUAUAUUUGUCGGAAUAUUUGUUUCGUUUAGACGGAUUGCUUUUCUCGGUCAACUUUAUUGGAGAAAAUUCUACAGAAAAUAAAAGUUAGAGAGCCUUCCUUCAAACAAUGGUG